CGGGCACCGCGUCGAGGCCGUAGUUGCGCGCCGAUUGCAGGUCGGCGGUGGUGACGAUGUUCCAGCCCGCGCGCCCGCC
rnacentral:tRNA from 1 species